rnacentral:rRNA from 1 species
UACGAACCGUCCAAACGUUAUUCGGAAUUAUUGGGCUUAAAGGGUGCGUAGGCGGCGUGUUAAGUCGGGUGUGAAAUCCCACAGCUCAACUGUGGAACUGCGCCCGAUACUGGCACGCUUGAGGGAGACAGAGGUAAGCGGAACUGAUGGUGGAGCGGUGAAAUGCGUUGAUAUCAUCAGGAACACCAGUGGCGAAAGCGGCUUACUGGGUCUCUUCUGACGCUGAGGCACGAAAGCUAGGGUAGCGAAC